rnacentral:rRNA from 1 species
CUCGUAGGCGGUUCGUCGCGUCCGGUGUGAAAGUCCAUCGCUUAACGGUGGAUCUGCGCCGGGUACGGGCGGGCUGGAGUGCGGUAGGGGAGACUGGAAUUCCCGGUGUAACGGUGGAAUGUGUAGAUAUCGGGAAGAACACCAAUGGCGAAGGCAGGUCUCUGGACCGUCACUGACGCUGAGGAGCGAAAGCGUGGGGAGCGAACA